CAAGACCUCAAAUAUGUGUGUCAGAUAAGAGAGACACCAAAAGCGUGCAGUGUUGGGGGUUCUCCAGGACCAGGUUUGGGAACCACUGGCUUAAAGGAAUGCGGGCAGAUCAACUUUCACUCCAUUUCCCCAUAGUCUGACCCCGUCCCGUGGGGUUUCCCCCAGACUGGCAGGACAUCAAAGUUGCAGCAAACCAUGUUUCAACUUUUCAUCUGGGAGAGAACUAUCCCCGCCACCACUGAGACAGAUUAAGAUCGUUGGAGUUCAUCACUCUUCAAGCCCGGAAGAGCGCAACUGCAACAAGACUAUCAUCUGAGACUGCAUCUAGAUACUCAUUCAGUGGCCAAGACAAUGCAAGUUUCGUACAUUUAACUUAUCGAAAUGAAAAGACCCUGUUGUAAAACGGC